GAUGAACGCUGGCGGCGUGCCUAAUACAUGCAAGUCGAGCGAACAGACGAGGAGCUUGCUCCUCUGACGUUAGCGGCGGACGGGUGAGUAACACGUGGAUAACCUACCUAUAAGACUGGGAUAACUUCGGGAAACCGGAGCUAAUACCGGAUAAUAUAUUGAACCGCAUGGUUCAAUAGUGAAAGACGGUUUUGCUGUCACUUAUAGAUGGAUCCGCGCCGCAUUAGCUAGUUGGUAAGGUAACGGCUUACCAAGGCAACGAUGCGUAGCCGACCUGAGAGGGUGAUCGGCCACACUGGAACUGAGACACGGUCCAGACUCCGACGGGAGGCAGCAGUAGGGAAUCUUCCGCAAUGGGCGAAAGCCUGACGGAGCAACGCCGCGUGAGUGAGGAAGGUCUUCGGAUCGUAAAACUCUGUUAUUAGGGAAGAACAAAUGUGUAAGUAACUAUGCAAGUCUUGACGGUACCUAAUCAGAAAGCCACGGCUAACUACGU
rnacentral:rRNA from 1 species